CGGUCUACUAGUAAAGUGGCGGACGGGUGCGUAACACGUGGGUAAUCUACCUUCCGGCGGGGGACAACAGUCCGAAAGGAUUGCUAAUACCGCGUACGUCAGCGGCGCCUACGGGCGCUGUUGGGAAAGAUGGCCUCUCCAUGGAAGCUGUCACCGGAAGAUGAGCCCGCGUCCCAUCAGCUAGUUGGUGAGGUAAUGGCUCACCAAGGCAAAGACGGGUAGCUGGUCUGAGAGGAUGAUCAGCCACACUGGGACUGCGACACGGCCCAGACUCCUACGGGAGGCAGCAGUGGGGAAUAUUGGGCAAUGGGCGAAAGCCUGACCCAGCCACGCCGCGUGAGUGAUGAAGGCCUUCGGGUCGUAAAGCUCUGUGGGGAGGGACGAACAAAUCUGGGGCUAAUCACCCGGGUCCUGACGGUACCUCCUUAGCAAGCACCGGCUAACCCUGUGCCAGCAGCCGCGGUAAUACAGGGGGUGCAAACGUUGCUCGGAAUCAUUGGGCGUAAAGCGCACGUAGGCGGUCUGUUAUGUCGGAUGUGAAAGCCCUUGGCUUAACUGAGGAAGUGCAUCCGAAACUGGCAGGCUAGAGUACCAAAGAGGGUCGCGGAAUUC
rnacentral:rRNA from 1 species